rfam:Streptomyces sp. NRRL F-6602 F6602contig516.1, whole genome shotgun sequence.
CCGGCGGACACAAGUUCGUGCGGACACUGUCAUCGGUACCUGAUACGGCCGGUGCAG